rnacentral:rRNA from 2 species
GAUUUGACGUUGGAUUCCCAGUGAGCGGCGGACGGGUGAGUAACACGUGGGCAACCUGCCCCAAAGCGGGGGAUAACAUUUGGAAACAGGUGCUAAUACCGCAUAACUUGGAAAACCACAUGGUUUUCCAAUAAAAGAUGGUUUCGGCUAUCACUUUGGGAUGGGCCCGCGGUGCAUUAGCUAGUUGGUAAGGUAACGGCUUACCAAGGCGAUGAUGCAUAGCCGAGUUGAGAGACUGAUCGGCCACAAUGGAACUGAGACACGGUCCAUACUCCUACGGGAGGCAGCAGUAGGGAAUCUUCCACAAUGGGCGCAAGCCUGAUGGAGCAACACCGCGUGAGUGAAGAAGGGUUUCGGCUCGUAAAACUCUGUUGUUGGAGAAGAACGUGCGUAAGAGUAACUGUUUACGCAGUGACGGUAUCCAACCAGAAAGUCACGGCUAACUACGUGCCAGCAGCCGCGGUAAUACA